rnacentral:rRNA from 1 species
UACGGGAGGGGCAAGCGUUAUUCACCAUGACUGGGCGUAAAGGGUUCGUAGACUGUAAAGUAAGUUAUAGGUUAAACUUUAGAGCUAAACUUUAAAUUAGCUUUUAAUACUGCUUUACUUAGAGUUUUAUACAGAAGAGUAGAAUUUUACAUGGAAGGGUAAAAUCUAGAGAUAUGUAAAGGAAUACCGUUAGCGAAGGCGACUCUUUGGUAAAAACUGACGUUGAGGAACGAAAGUAUGGGUAGCAAACAGG